GAUGAACGCUGGCGGCGUGCCUAACACAUGCAAGUCGAGCGUGAUUCUAAUGAGUGGAGACUUCGGUCAAGGCGAGUUAGAUGAAAGCGGCGGACGGGUGAGUAACGCGUGGGCAACCUGCCCCAUACAGAGGGAUAGCCACUGGAAACGGUGAUUAAUACCUCAUAAGACCACGACAUCGCAUGAUGAUGUGGCCAAAGAUUUAUCGGUAUGGGAUGGGCCCGCGUCUGAUUAGCUAGUUGGUGAGGUAAUGACUCACCAAGGCGACGAUCAGUAACCGACCUGAGAGGGAGGAAGGGCAGACUGGAACGGAGACACGGUCCAGACUCCUACAGGAGGCAGCAGUGGGGAAUAUUGGGCAAUGGGCGCAAGCCUGAUGCAGCAACGCCGCGUGAGUGAAGAAGGCCUUCGGGUCGUAAAGCUCUGUCCUCUGGGGCGAAGAAAUGACGGUACCAGAGGAGGAAGCCCCGGCUAACUACGUGCCAGCAGCCGCCGUAA
rnacentral:rRNA from 1 species